AUGUUUUCUAUCUAGCCUACCAACUUUUACCACCCACUAACCACCCACCUCUAACCAAUAAAUCAUUUAUUUUUCUUAGUAUAUGAGAUAAAAAAGUAAAUCAGAGCUAUAAAUUAGUACCGUAAGGGAAAGAUGAAAUAAAUGAAAUAUUUAAAAACACUAAAUAGCAGAGACCUCAACUCGUACCUUUUGCAUCAUGGCCUAACAAGUCCAAUCAGGCAAGACGAAUUUUAGUCUGACCCCCCGAAACUAAGUGAGCUACUCCGGGGCUACCAAUGUAAUCCCGUCUCUGUCGCAAAAGAGUGGGAAGACCCCCGAGUAGAGGCGAAAAACCUACCGAACCUAGUAAUAGCUGGUUGCUUAGGAAAAGGAUUUUAGUUCUUUCUUAAAAACGCCCUAACACCUCAUCCAAGUAGAUCUGAUUUUUAAGAAUUAUUCAAUAAAGGUACAGCUUUAUUGAAGAAGGAAACAGCCUAAACCUUAGGAUAAUGAUUAUAAUACCCAAGGAAAUUAAGACUAAGUAGGCCUAAAAGCAGCCACCUUAAAUAGCGUCAAAGCUUCACCUCAAUUCCUCUCCCUUAAUCCCAUUAAAAUAUCAAAAUCCAAUAUCACUACUAAGCUAUUCUAUAAUUGUAUAGAAGAAUUUAUGUUAGGACUAGUAACAAAGAACAACUUCUCUUAUAUAUAAGUUUAAAUCAGCUCGAAUACCUCCCUGAUAAUUAAUCAACCCUGAAUUCAUAGUAGUAACUUUCCCCCCCCCCAAAACCCUACUUUAAUUACUGUUAAUCAGACAUAUGAAUAUAAAAGAAAGAUGAAAGAAUUAAGAAGGAACUCGGCAAACACAAAUCCCGCCUGUUUACCAAAAACAUCGCCUUUUGAAUAAUAUAAAAGGUAACGCCUGCCCAGUGACUCUAUGUUCAACGGCCGCGGUAUCCUGACCGCGCGAAGGUAGCGUAAUCAUUUGUCUUUUAAAUGGAGACUUGUAUGAAAGGCUUUACGAGGAUUUAACUGUCUCCUUAAUUUAAUCAGUGAAAUUGAUCUUCCCGUAAAAAAGCGGGAAUAAAACCAUAAGACGAGAAGACCCUAUGGAGCUUAAAACCUAAAACUACUUGUAUAACCUGUCUAUUAAGAAUCACCAAUAAACAAACCUAGUCUAAGUUUUCUGUUGGGGUGACUGUGGAGAAAAACUAAUCCUCCAUGAAGAACAAACUUAGAGCUACCGCUCUAAGUAUUAGUAAACCUAACUUUAAUUGAUCCAAUCUUUGAUCAACGGACCAAGUUACCCUAGGGAUAACAGCGCUAUCCAUUUCAAGAGUUCCUAUCGACAAAUGGGUUUACGACCUCGAUGUUGGAUUAGGACAUCCUAGUGGUGAAGCCGCUACUAAU
rnacentral:rRNA from 1 species